GCGCAGGUGACGGAAUUGGUAGACGGCUGGUCCUGAGUUGGCCAGGUCCCGGUGGGGCGUGAGGGUUCGAGUCCCUCCCUGCGCA
rnacentral:tRNA from 1 species